AUUCGCCCUUAGAGUUUGAUCCUGGCUCAGGACGAACGCUGGCGGCGCGCCUAACACAUGCAAGUCGAACGGGACUAUGCUGGAAGAAGUUUUCGGAUGGAUUUUGGUAUAGUUUAGUGGCGGACGGGUGAGUAACACGUGAGCAACCUGCCUUCGAGAGGGGAAUAACGGCUGGAAACGGUCGCUAAUACCGCAUAAUAUACAGGAGGGACAUCCCUUUUGUAUCAAAGAUUUAUCGCUCGAAGAUGGGCUCGCGUCCGAUUAGGUAGUUGGUGAGGUAACGGCCCACCAAGCCGACGAUCGGUAGCCGGACUGAGAGGUUGAACGGCCACAUUGGGACUGAGACACGGCCCAAACUCCUACGGGAGGCAGCAGUGGGGGAUAUUGCACAAUGGGGGAAACCCUGAUGCAGCGACGCCGCGUGAGUGAAGAAGUAUUUCGGUAUGUAAAGCUCUAUCAGCAGGGAAGAAAAAAGACGGUACCUGAUUAAGAAGCCCCGGCUAACUACGUGCCAGCAGCCGCGGUAAUACGUAGGGGGCAAGCGUUAUCCGGAUUUACUGGGUGUAAAGGGAGCGUAGACGGCAGUGCAAGUCUGGAGUGAAAGGCGGGGGCUCAACCCCCGGACUGCUCUGGAAACUGUACAGCUGGAGUGCAGGAGAGGUAAGUGGAAUUCCUAGUGUAGCGGUGAAAUGCGUAGAUAUUAGGAGGAACACCAGUGGCGAAGGCGGCUUACUGGACUGUAACUGACGUUGAGGCUCGAAAGC
rnacentral:rRNA from 1 species